GUGCAGACUCGAUCACUAACUGCAUAAUGUUGCACAGAUGAGGAAAAUCAGGUUUGAUAAAGUAAUUGCAGUGAUAGAAAUGGAUUAAUUUCAGAGCGUACUGAGGCUGCUGUUCUAGUACAGGAUAAAA